GAUGAGAACGCAGCGAAAUGCGAUAAGUAAUGUGAAUUGCAGAAUUCAGUGAAUCAUCGAAUCUUUGAACGCACAUUGCGCCCCCUGGUAUUCCGGGGGGCAUGCCUGUCCGAGCGUCAUUACAACCCUCAAGCUCAGCUUGGUAUUGGGCCCCGCCGACCCGGCGGGCCCUAAAGUCAGUGGCGGUGCCGUCCGGCUCCGAGCGUAGUAAUUCUUCUCGCUCUGGAGGUCCGGUCGUGUGCUCGCCAGCAACCCCCAAUUUUUUUCAGGUUGACCUCGGAUCAGGUAGGGAUACCCGCUGAACUUAAGCAUAUCAAUAAGCGGAGGA
rnacentral:misc_RNA from 1 species